UGUUACUAUAACUCUUUGCAACUUCCCAUGAAUCAUUAAUAAUUUAUAAAUAUGAAUAUACACACAUAUACAUAUACACACAUACAUUCUAUUUGGUUUCUUUGUUAUUAGAUACAGAGUAACUGAACUCAUUUUCUGCUUGAAUUCAAGGAGAGGAAGAAGAAACCAGGAGGAAGAUUAGAAGGAAGGAGGACAAGGAAAAGGAGAAAGAGGAGGAGUCACCAAAAUGGUGUAGGGUAAAGCAAGCAGUAUUUCCUGAAAUUUCUUGGAAAUUAAACCAGGUAGAAGAAACCCAUAACUGAAGUUGCCCUCUGCUGUCAAUUUUUUCUGUGGAACCUGAGUAAAACAAGACUUUAUUCAAAAUAGAAAAUGGAUGGAUCAAUGGACCGAUUGAUAAUUCAAUGGAAGAUAAAUGGAAUCUAAUUUUUAGAAAGUCACCUAGGCAGCAGAAACCAAUGCUAGAGACUACGCAAGCCAGCAAGAUGAUAGUAAAUGUCAGAUCCCACGGGUUUGGGGAAGCAGAUGUGGCUGGAAGACAAGGGCAGAGUUACACAGAGAGGACAUUCAAACAUUCACCAGAAUUCCCAGAAGGACCAGGAACAGAUUUAUUGUAUGUAUAUAUUUACAUGUGUGACAAAAGACACACCACACACACACACACAUAUACAUACACAGAACAGUGAGACAGAAAGCAAUUAACUUGAUAAUCUAAAUUCCAAAAAGAAAAAAGAAAAAAAAUCUUCUCUAGAUUGCUGAAAUUCUUCCUGAGUUGCUAUUCAUACCACUGUU
rnacentral:lncRNA from 9 species